AUUGAACGCUGGCGGCAGGCCUAACACAUGCAAGUCGAGCGGAUGAAGGGAGCUUGCUCCUGGAUUCAGCGGCGGACGGGUGAGUAAUGCCUAGGAAUCUGCCUGGUAGUGGGGGAUAACGUCCGGAAACGGGCGCUAAUACCGCAUCGGUCCGGAGGGGGAAGGGGGGGGAUCUUCGGCCCUCACGCUAUCAGAUGAGCCUAGGUCGGAUUGGCUAGUUGGUGGGGUAAAGGCCUACCAAGGCGACGAUCCGUAACUGGUCUGAGAGGGUGAUCAGUCACACUGGAACUGAGACACGGUCCAGACUCCUACGGGAGGCAGCAGUGGGGAAUAUUGGACAAUGGGCGAAAGCCUGAUCCAGCCAUGCCGCGUGUGUGAAGAAGGUCUUCGGAUUGUAAAGCACUUUAAGUUGGGAGGAAGGGCAGUAAGUUAAUACCUUGCUGUUUUGACGUUACCAACAGAAUAAGCACCGGCUAACUUCGUG
rnacentral:rRNA from 1 species